rnacentral:rRNA from 1 species
GACCAGACUCGCCUCCAGGGUUCAGCCGGCAUUCGUGCCGGUGUACUUCCCUGGGGGCGGGCCAGCGUCGGUUUGGGCGGCCGGUCAAAGGCUCCCGGAAUGUAGUGCCCUCCGGGGCACCUUAUAGCCGGGAGUGCAAUGCGGCCAGCCUGGACCGAGGAACGCGCUUCGGCACGGACGCUGGCAUAAUGGUCGUAAACGACCCGUCUUGA